rnacentral:tRNA from 1 species
GCCUGGGUGGCUUAGUCAGUUAAGCAUCUGACUUCAGCUCAGGUCUUGAUCCCAAGGUCCUGGGAUUGAGUCCCACACUGGGCU